rnacentral:sRNA from 1 species
UCAGCGAGAGAGCGUUGCCGCAGGCAACGACCCGAAGGGCGAAGCGCGCAGCGCUGAGUAAUCCUUCCCCCACCACCA